rnacentral:rRNA from 1 species
AACGAACGCUGGCGGCGUGCCUAACACAUGCAAGUCGAACGGAUUUGAGGGGCUUGCUCCUCAAGUUAGUGGCGCACGGGUGAGUAACGCGUAGAUAAUCUGCCCGACGAUCCGGGACAACAGUUCGAAAGGACUGCUAAUACCGGAUAAGCCCACGUGGUCUUUGGACCGUGCGGGAAAAGGGGGGGACCUUCGGGCCUUCUGUCGUCGGAUGAGUCUGCGUACCAUUAGCUAGUUGGUAGGGUAAAGGCCUACCAAGGCUACGAUGGUUGGCUGGGACGAGAGGAUGAUCCGCCCAACUGGAGAUGAGAAACGGUCCGAACUCCUACGGGAGGAAGCAGUGGGGAAUUUCGCGCAAUGGGCGAAAGCCUGACGCAGCAACGCCGCGUGAGUGAUGAAGGCUUUCGGGUCGUAAAGCUCCGUCAGGGGGAAAGAAGUGUAUUGUGGCUAAUAUCCACGAUACUUGACGGUACCCCCAAAGGAAGCACCGGCUAACUCCGUGCCAGCCGCCGCCGUAAAAC